rnacentral:misc_RNA from 1 species
ACAAGUGUCUGAAGAACAUGGAGCCAUCCAAUCUCUUAUUAUUAUAUGUGAAGAUUUUCUCUCUCUGUUUAAAACAUCAGGUCUGUAUCGGGGCUCUGUGAUUGGUGGACCAAGGACCUUAGUGACCCAAAUUUCAGACAAUGUCGCUCAUCGAAAUUCCUGGUCCUCUAAGAGGAAAUCUCUUCCUGGCGCCUUGGCAAUGACCUUGGAUCCCAUGAAGGAAGAAAGCUUUGAAAAGAAAAUGGCCACAAUUGCAAUGUCAACUCAUGAUCCAAGAAUGUCAAGGUUACAUGGUAAAGAAGAUGGACCAGAUGAUGAUGAGGAAUGGGCGAAGGUAAGCAUCAUAAUGUCAAAUGAGCUGGCUUCAUUUUAAUUUAGAGUGAAAACUUAUGAAUAUGCUUUAAAACUUCCUCUAAUAAAACCAGGUUUUUCUCAGCCCUUUUUUAUCACCUUGAUUUGAAUAUUAUCAGAGUUUAAGGUCCAUAUUCAGGUGAUGGUAGAAAAAGUGGUCUGUAUUGAUAGGAACAUGGCACAUUGUACUGUUAACCAACUGUUAUAGGGUACAAGAAAUAUUCUCAAUGCUCCUGUUCAAAUCAUUAUGAAUUACUGCAAUAUACUGCAAAAAUACAUGUUAAUAUGAUUGAAGUCAGAUAGCAAGGAAAGGCAAAACUUUGUCAUUGGGAAUAUUAUAUUUUAAGUAAGUUGGUUUACAGAACUACGUACAUGAAACCUGGCUAUUUUAGAGGCAAUAUUUUUUCCCCAUUUUGAUAUUUUGACAUGUAAUAUGAAAUGUAAAUUCUUAUGAGAUGUUUAUAUUUUGGAAACGCGAAAUUAGAAUUAAUUUGACAUUUGACCUUUAGAUUGCGGAUAUUGUCUCUAGUUUUGGAGGAGACAUUGGUGUGUACACUGACCUGCCGUCAUUUGAGGCCGAAAUACAGAUGCUCAACCGAGGUACACCAGCAUGCUGUGAAGGCACACAUUGUCUUGUGUGUCCAUACCAAUUUCAGAAUUAUUCACAUCUUCUCACAAUAAUCUGCCCAUAUUCUAGGCCAUGCAUGAACAGAAUGAAAUCUAUUACCAAUUUCAGUACCAAUUUCUUUUUGUGAUUGCUGAUUCUCAUACUAAUAUAUUCCUCUUUACAUGGAACAUUCUGAGCUUGCAGAUACUAUAUUGCUUAAAAAGGCAGAUAAUUUUAGGCUUGCUAGUACAGAAGAGGAAAUCGUCAGUAAUGGAGUGUUUUUUCCAAAAUAUCACUCAAACUUUUAAAACAAAAUCAAUUCAAAAUCCCAUUAUGAUGGAUAUAUCGAAAUUCAACAUGCUAGUACAUAUUACAUUUAAUUAACAAUAAAUUGGAAUAUAUAUACACUGAACAGAUACUGGUAACAACACUAAGGUUGCAGAGUAGAAGUAUAGACUAAGGAACGGGCACUAGUUUUAAAGACAAAAAACUGGACGAGGUCCCAAUCUCCCCUAAACCCAGGUUUCUAAUUUCUCAGCUGACUAACCAUUGAAUUAACAAGAUUUUUUGUGGAUUUCAGGUUUCUUUUAUAUUUUUUCCUUCCUAUUUAUUCUACUAAAAGCGGCAGGACUUGUUUUUCCUUAUUGAAAGCGCCAGAUAUCCUGUGAAACGAUAUCUAUUUCCUUACAGUAUUUGCAUGACCUUUCUGCACUUGUAGUCUUGCAUGUUCUUUAGAUUGAGGACAUUAUGGCAUCUUUUGGGGGUGGAAUUGCGAGGGAGUCAGUGUUCAUGCGAGAAAUGGAACCCGCCUUUCUGAAAAAGUUAGCCGACAGUUUGCAACAGUGUAUGUAUUCAUAAUGUCUCAUAGCUGGUAUAUCCUGUUAUGUCAUCAAUAUCCUAUCACACAUAGACAUAAGAACGACACUCAGCUUAGAGUUUAACAUAUAGCACUUUAAGUGGCAUCACAGCUUCCCUCAUGUUUACAAGUAUUUGUGAUGUCCAAAUUAGUAAAACUUAUAGCAAAUGCGACAAAGGAGUGAAAAAAAAGAAGUUAUAAAUAGGUUUGGGGUUGUUGAAUCCCCCUACCCCCCAUCUUCCACUGCCAACCUAAUCCUCCAUUAACCCAUUCCUACUCCCCCAAUUACCAAAUCAGAUAGGAACAAAAAAUAACCAAAAUGACAUUACCCCAAAAAAGAAGCAGAGAACGUCCUGACACCCCCCCC